rnacentral:rRNA from 1 species
AUUGAACGCUGGCGGCAGGCCUAACACAUGCAAGACGAGCGGAUGAAGGGAGCUUGCUCCUGGAUUCAGCGGCGGACGGGUGAGUAAUGCCUAGGAAUCUGCCUGGUAGUGGGGGAUAACGUCCUGAAACGGGCGCUAAUACCGCAUACGUCCUGAGGGAGAAAGGGGGGGAUCUUCGGACCUCACGCUAUCAGAUGAGCCUAGGUCGGAUUAGCUAGUUGGUGGGGUAAAGGCCUACCAAGGCGACGAUCCGUAACUGGUCUGAGAGGAUGAUCAGUCACACUGGAACUGAGACACGGUCCAGACUCCUACGGGAGGCAGCAGUGGGGAAUAUUGGACAAUGGGCGAAAGCCUGAUCCAGCCAUGCCGCGUGUGUGAAGAAGGUCUUCGGAUUGUAAAGCACUUUAAGUUGGGAGGAAGGGCAGUAAGUUAAUACCUUGCUGUUUUGACGUUACCAACAGAAUAAGCACCGGCUAACUUCGUG